CCUACGGGUGGCAGCAGUGAGGAAUAUUGGUCAAUGGACGAGAGUCUGAACCAGCCAAGUAGCGUGAAGGAUGACUGCCCUAUGGGUUGUAAACUUCUUUUAUAUGGGAAUGAAAUGUUCCACGUGUGGGCUUUUGUAUGUACCAUAUGAAUAAGGAUCGGCUAACUCCGUGACAGCAGCCGCGGUAAUACGGAGGAUCCAAGCGUUAUCCGGAUUUAUUGGGUUUAAAGGGAGCGUAGGUGGAUUGUUAAGGCAGUUGUGAAAGUUUGCGGCUCAACCGUAAAAUUGCAGUUGAAACUGGCAGUCUUGAGUACAGUAGAGGUGGGCGGAAUUCGUGGUGUAGCGGUGAAAUGCUUAGAUAUCACGAAGAACUCCGAUUGCGAAGGCAGCUCACUGGACUGCAACUGACACUGAGGCUCGAAAGUGUGGGUAUCAAACAGGAUUAGAUACCCCAGUAGUC
rnacentral:rRNA from 1 species